ACUCUAAGCGGUGGAUCACUCGGCUCAUGGGUCGAUGAAGAACGCAGCAAACUGUGCGUCAUCGUGGUGAACUGCAGGACACAUGAACAUCGACAUUUUGAACGCAUAUCGCAGUCCAUGCUGUUAUGUACUUUAAUUAAUUUUAUAGUGCUGCUUGGACUACAUAUGGUUGAGGGUUGUAAGACUAUGCUAAUUAAGUUGCUUAUAAAUUUUUUAUAAGCAUAUGGUAUAUUAUUGGAUAAAUAUAAUAAUUUUUAUUCAUAAUAUUAAAAAAUAAAUGAAAAACAUUAUCUCACAUUUGAAUGUGAAAAACGAAGAGAAAUAUUUUCUUUUUCAAUCAAAUAAUACUGAGAAAUGUCUAGCAUAAAAAAUUGAAAUAUUUUUCAUCUAGAAUUGUCUCUUAUUAAUGAUUCGGAAAUAGAAAAAUCUUGGUUAUGUUAUUAUUCUUCGUUGGUUCGUUAAAAAUGGAUAAAUAAAAACUUUGCAUACAAGAAUUAAUAAAAAUGUUAUAACGAAUUUAAUUAAAUGUUUUAUCAUUAUAUAUAAAGAAUUUAUGGCAAGAUAAAGUUAUAUACAACCUCAACUCAUAUGGGACUACCCCCUGAAUUUAAGCAUAUUAAUUAGGGGAGGAAAAGAAACUAACAAGGAUUUUCUUAGUAGCGGGCGAGCGAAAAGAAAACAGUUCAGCACUAAGUCACUUUGUCUAUAUGGCAAAUGUGAGAUGCAGUGUAUGGAGCGUCAAUAUUCUAGUAUGAGAAAUUAACGAUUUAAGUCCUUCUUAAAUGAGGCCAUUUACCCAUAGAGGGUGCCAGGCCCGUAUAACGUUAAUGAUUACUAGAUGAUGUUUCCAAAGAGUCGUGUUGCUUGAUAGUGCAGCACUAAGUGGGUGGUAAACUCCAUCUAAAACUAAAUAUAACCAUGAGACCGAUAGUAAACAAGUACCGUGAGGGAAAGUUGAAAAGAACUCCUGAAUAGAGAGUUAAACAGUACGUGAAACUGCUUAGAGGUUAAGCCCGAUGAACCUGAAUAUCCGUUAUGGAAAAUUCAUCAUUAAAAUUGUAAUAUUUAAAUAAUAUUAUGAGAAUAGUGUGCAUUUUUUCCAUAUAAGGACAUUGUAAUCUAUUAGCAUAUACCAAAUUUAUCAUAAAAUAUAACUUAUAGUUUAUUCCAAUUAAAUUGCUUGCAUUUUAACACAGAAUAAAUGUUAUUAAUUUGAUAAAGUGCUGAUAGAUUUAUAUGAUUACAGUGCGUUAAUUUUUCGGAAUUAUAUAAUGGCAUAAUUAUCAUUGAUUUUUGUGUUUAUUAUAUGCACUUGUAUGAUUAACAAUGCGAAAGAUUCAGGAUACCUUCGGGACCCGUCUUGAAACACGGACCAAGGAGUCUAACAUAUGUGCAAGUUAUUGGGAUAUAAACCUAAUAGCGUAAUUAACUUGACUAAUAAUGGAUUAGUUUUUUAGCUAUUUAUAGCUAAUUAACACAAUCCCGGGGCGUUCUAUAUAGUUAUGUAUAAUGUAUAUUUAUAUUAUUUAUGCCUCUAACUGGAACGUACCUUGAGCAUAUAUGCUGUGACCCGAAAGAUGGUGAACUAUACUUGAUCAGGUUGAAGUCAGGGGAAACCCUGAUGGAAGACCGAAACAGUUCUGACGUGCAAAUCGAUUGUCAGAAUUGAGUAUAGGGGCGAAAGACCAAUCGAACCAUCUAGUAGCUGGUUCCUUCCGAAGUUUCCCUCAGGAUAGCUGGUGCAUUUUAAUAUUAUAUAAAAUAAUCUUAUCUGGUAAAGCGAAUGAUUAGAGGCCUUAGGGUCGAAACGAUCUUAACCUAUUCUCAAACUUUAAAUGGGUAAGAACCUUAACUUUCUUGAUAUGAAGUUCAAGGUUAUGAUAUAAUGUGCCCAGUGGGCCACUUUUGGUAAGCAGAACUGGCGCUGUGGGAUGAACCAAACGUAAUGUUACGGUGCCCAAAUUAACAACUCAUGCAGAUACCAUGAAAGGCGUUGGUUGCUUAAAACAGCAGGACGGUGAUCAUGGAAGUCGAAAUCCGCUAAGGAGUGGUGUAACAACUCACCUGCCGAAGCAACUAGCCCUUAAAAUGGAUGGCGCUUAAGUUGUAUACCUAUACAUUACCGCUAAAGUAGAUGAUUUAUAUUACUUGUGAUAUAAAUUUUGAAACUUUAGUGAGUAGGAAGGUACAAUGGUAUGCGUAGAAGUGUUUGGCGUAAGCCUGCAUGGAGCUGCCAUUGGUACAGAUCUUGGUGGUAGUAGCAAAUAAUCGAAUGAGACCUUGGAGGACUGAAGUGGAGAAGGGUUUCGUGUGAACAGUGGUUGAUCACGAGUUAGUCGGUCCUAAGUUCAAGGCGAAAGCCGAAAAUUUUCAAGUAAAACAAAAAUGCCUAACUAUAUAAACAAAGCGAAUUAUAAUACACUUGAAUAAUUUUGAACGAAAGGGAAUACGGUUCCAAUUCCGUAACCUGUUGAGUAUCCGUUUGUUAUUAAAUAUGGGCCUCGUGCUCAUCCUGGCAACAGGAACGACCAUAAAGAAGCCGUCGAGAGAUAUCGGAAGAGUUUUCUUUUCUGUUUUAUAGCCGUACUACCAUGGAAGUCUUUCGCAGAG
rnacentral:rRNA from 1 species